AGCAGCCGCGGUAAUUCCAGCUCCAAUAGCGUAUAUUAAAGUUGUUGCAGUUAAAAAGCUCGUAGUUGAAUUUUUGAUUCUUCCAAUUGGUCCAUCUUUUAGAUGAGUACUGGUUGUGUGGGGUCUAUCCGCCUGGUGAUACGUAAUGUCCUUUAUUGGAUGUUGCGGGUAGUCAGGACCUUUACCUUGAAAAAUUGAGUGUUUAAAGCAGGCUUAUGCCGGAAUACAUUAGCAUGGAAUAAUAGAAUAGGACGAAGUUGUUUUAUUUUGUUGGUUUCUAGGACAACCGUAAUGAUUAAUAGGGAUAGUUGGGGGCAUUAGUAUUCAAUUGUCAGAGGUGAAAUUCUUGGAUUUAUUGAAGACUAACUACUGCGAAAGCAUUUGCCAAGGAUGUUUUCAUUAAUCAAGAACGAAAGUUAGGGGAUCGAAGACGAUCAGAUACCGUCGUAG
rnacentral:rRNA from 1 species